CUGGCUCCGGUUCACGUCACGACAUCCCGUCGUGCCGACCCGGCGGCC
rfam:Jiangella alkaliphila strain DSM 45079 genome assembly, chromosome: I